rnacentral:rRNA from 1 species
GAUGAACGCUAGCGGCAGGCUUAACACAUGCAAGUCGAGGGGUAUAGUUCUUCGGAAUUAGAGACCGGCGCACGGGUGCGUAACGCGUAUGCAAUCUACCUUUUACAGGGGAAUAGCCCAGAGAAUUUGGAUUAAUGCCCCAUGGUAUUAUAGGAUGGCAUCAUUUUAUAAUUAAAGUUCCAACGGUAAAAGAUGAGCAUGCGUCCCAUUAGUUAGUUGGUAAGGUAACGGCUUACCAAGACGAUGAUGGGUAGGGGUCCUGAGAGGGAGAUCCCCCACACUGGUACUGAGACACGGACCAGACUCCUACGGGAGGCAGCAGUGAGGAAUAUUGGACAAGUGGGCGCAAGCCUGAUCCAGCCAUGCCGCGUGCAGGAAGAAGCACUCUAGUGGUGUGUAAACUGCUUUUGUGCGGGAAGAAACACUCCUACGUGUAGGAGCUUGACGGUACCGUAAGAAUAAGG